rnacentral:miRNA from 1 species
GCUGUGUGGGGUCAGACCUAU